GGCAUGGCGGCUGCUUAACAUGCAAGUCGAACGGUAACAGGGAGCUUGCUCCGCUGACGAGUGGCGAACGGGUGAGUAAUACAUCGGAACGUGCCCAGUAAUGGGGGAUAGCUCGGCGAAAGCCGGAUUAAUACCGCAUACGCCCUGAGGGGGAAAGUGGGGGACCGCAAGGCCUCACGUUAUUGGAGCGGCCGAUGGCUGAUUAGCUAGUUGGUAGGGUAAAGGCCUACCAAGGCGACGAUCAGUAGCUGGUCUGAGAGGACGAUCAGCCACACUGGGACUGAGACACGGCCCAGACUCCUACGGGAGGCAGCAGUGGGGAAUUUUGGACAAUGGGGGAAACCCUGAUCCAGCAAUGCCGCGUGUGCGAAGAAGGCCUUCGGGUUGUAAAGCACUUUUGUCAGGGAAGAAAUCCUUUGGGCUAAUACCCUAGGGGGAUGACGGUACCUGAAGAAUAAGCACCGGCUAACUACGUGCCAGCAGCCGCGGUAAUACGUAGGGUGCAAGCGUUAAUCGGAAUUACUGGGCGUAAAGCGUGCGCAGGCGGUUGUGUAAGACAGGUGUGAAAUCCCCGGGCUUAACCUGGGAAUUGCAUUUGUGACUGCACGAC
rnacentral:rRNA from 1 species